GCCUACGGGAGGCAGCAGUGGGGAAUAUUGGACAAUGGGCGCAAGCCUGAUCCAGCAAUGCCGCGUGAGUGAGGAAGGCCUUAGGGUUGUAAAGCUCUUUCGCGCGCGACGAUGAUGACGGUAGCGCGAGAAGAAGCCCCGGCUAACUUCGUGCCAGCAGCCGCGGUAAUACGAAGGGGGCGAGCGUUGUUCGGAUUUACUGGGCGUAAAGGGCGCGUAGGCGGCCCUGUUUGUCGCGUGUGAAAGCCCCGGGCUCAACCUGGGAACGGCGCGCGAUACGGCGGGGCUAGAGAUCGGGAGAGGAGCGUGGAAUUCCCAGUGUAGAGGUGAAAUUCGUAGAUAUUGGGAAGAACACCGGUGGCGAAGGCGGCGCUCUGGACCGAGACUGACGCUGAGGCGCGAAAGCGUGGGGAGCAAACAGGAUUAGAUACCCCGGUAGU
rnacentral:rRNA from 1 species